rnacentral:lncRNA from 1 species
GACUACUUUUUUCGAAAAAAAUACUAUUGCGAUGGUUAAACUGCUGGUAUACGUGAAAUACAUAUAGGUAUCGUUUGGUUCGGAAAUAAGUAAAAAGUGGGUAUUCCGGGGAUAGGUAUAAAUUGAGGUAUAAGCGGGGAUUAGAUCAAUUUUGCAUUUGGAUGAAAAUUGAGUUAUUGUUGGGAAUAAGAAAAAUAGCGUUUGGUUAGAUAAGAUGGGAUAAGAAUUAAAGUGGGUAGUUAUAAAUAAAAAAUAAUGAUAUUAUCUUUUUCUUUG